CUUAAUUGGGCGUUAAGUUGCAGGGUAUAGACCCGAAACCCGGUGAUCUAGCCAUGGGCAGGUUGAAGGUUGGGUAACACUAACUGGAGGACCGAACCGACUAAUGUUGAAAAAUUAGCGGAUGACCUGUGGCUGGGGGUGAAAGGCCAAUCAAACCGGGAGAUAGCUGGUUCUCCCCGAAAGCUAUUUAGGUAGCGCCUCGUGAAUUCAUCUCCGGGGGUAGAGCACUGUUUCGGCUAGGGGGCCAUCCCGGCUUACCAACCCGAUGCAAACUGCGAAUACCGGAGAAUGUUAUCACGGGAGACACACGGCGGGUGCUAACGUCCGUCGUGAAGAGGGAAACAACCCAGACCGCCAGCUAAGGUCCCAAAGUCAUGGUUAAGUGGGAAACGAUGUGGGAAGGCCCAGACAGCCAGGAUGUUGGCUUAGAAGCAGCCAUCAUUUAAAGAAAGCGUAAUAGCUCACUGGUCGAGUCGGCCUGCGCGGAAGAUGUAACGGGGCUAAACCAUGCACCGAAGCUGCGGCAGCGAACGUAUCACCCAAGACAACUUUACGGAGUUGACGAUUGACGGAGCGAAGCGACGUCAAAGCGUUCAUUAAAGUCGAGUUGGCUUAGGGAUACGUU
rnacentral:rRNA from 1 species